rnacentral:ncRNA from 1 species
UGAUAGCUGUGAAGCGUGAGGUUGCCGUUUUCCGGUGACGGAAGGCGGGUUUUCCGUGGAGCGAAUGUCAAGUUAGGAAACUGACGACAA